rnacentral:lncRNA from 1 species
UAUAGCUCCACAUUGAUCUGAUACUUCCUGUAUAUAGGUCCACAUUGAUCGGGUACUUCCUGUAUAUAGCUCCACAUUGAUCUGGUACUUCCUGUAUACAGGUCCACAUUGAUCUGGUACUUCCUGUAUAUAGGUCCACAUUGAUCGGGUACUUCCUGUAUAUAGCUCCACAUUGAUCUGGUACUUCCUGUAUAUAGGUCCACAUUUAUCUGGUACUUCCUGUAUAUAGGUCCACAUUGAUCUGCUACUUCCUGUAUAUAGGUCCACAUUGAUAUGGUGCUUCCUGUAUAUAGGUCCACAUUGAUCUGGUACUUCCUGUAUAUAGCUUCACAUUGAUCUGGUACUUCCUGUAUAUACCGCCACAUUGAUCUGGUACUUCCUGUAUAUAGCGUCACAUUGAUCUGGUACUUCCUG